UUCUCGAGGUAGAGAGAAGAGACCUAUGCAAGGGAAGCAAUGAGCAAAAGCCCAGACAUGGGACUGAGGGUGAAAUCUCCCAGGAGAAAAAGCUGAAACUGACCUUUCCACAGGCUGCCCAGCUUCUUCCCUUCCCAAGUCCGUGUGUGGUUUGAGGAUGACCACAUUUGUCAAAGGACUUGAUGUGUGGAUG